CGCUUUUCGAAUCUGUGCUAAUAUUUCUUCAGACACCAACCCAUUAGGGUUGAUCAGACUUCCAAGAUAAGUGAAGUU
rnacentral:pre_miRNA from 1 species